UCGGGAAUUUUGGGCAAUGGGCGAAAGCCUGACCCAGCAACGCCGCGUGAAGGAUGAAGUAUUUCGGUAUGUAAACUUCGAAAGAAUAGGAAGAAUAAAUGACGGUACUAUUUAUAAGGUCCGGCUAACUACGUGCCAGCAGCCGCGGUAAUACGUAGGGACCAAGCGUUGUUCGGAUUUACUGGGCGUAAAGGGCGCGUAGGCGGCAAUUCAAGUCAUCUGUGAAAUCUCCGGGCUUAACUCGGAACGGUCAGAUGAUACUGCUUUGCUAGAGUGCAGAAGGGGCAAUCGGAAUUCUUGGUGUAGCGGUGAAAUGUGUAGAUAUCAAGAGGAACACCUGAGGUGAAGACGGGUUGCUGGGCUGACACUGACGCUCAUGCACGAAAGCGUGGGGAGCAAACAGGAUUAGAUACCCAAGUAGUCCCUGAGCGGGCUGGCAAGGCGCAU
rnacentral:rRNA from 1 species